rnacentral:lncRNA from 1 species
UAGAAAUGUGAUUGUGUAAAUCCUAGUGUAUCUAGAGAUAUCUUUGAAUAUUUCCUUUAGUAGUUAAUAUUCUAUUAGAGUUGUAAUCAUAAAGGGUAAAGAUUUAAUAUAUCAUACUACUAUAAAUAAAGGUACAAUAGGAUGAUACAACACACUUCACAAUUAAAUUUAUCUCUUCUCUCUUAUUGUCGUUGGUCUCCCCCUGUCUAUUUACUUAGAAUAGUUCAGUUAAAUAGGUCUAUAACAAAAAAUAUUUUUUCUAAAAAUAUGUUAAUAGUACAAUCAUUUUAUAAGAAACACCUCGGCGGCGUUUGUUGCGCUGGACUAUCUCGGACUGGACUAGCUUCAAGGACUAAGCUGGACUGGCUUAGACUAGACUAAGCUGGACUAACUUAGUGAAGCGUUUGGUGCAGUGUUGGACUAAGAAGCUGGAUAAUAACAAAUUCUAAUAUUAUAUUAUUUAAUAUAUAAAUUAUUAAUAUUUUAUUAUGAUCUAGGUGACCGAAGAUGACGAAGAGUCUAUCGAGAAUGGUUGUUGAGCAUGACGAGGACGAGAGAGGAU